rnacentral:lncRNA from 10 species
GACCUCGUGAUCCGCCUGCCUCAGCCUCUCAAAGUACUGGGAUUACAAGCGUGAGCCACUGCGCCCGGCGUAAGCUUGUUUCUUUGGCAGCAAUGUUUGCAGUUAUCUAUGUUUGAUCUAAUUCAUUAUAAUCUAAUGACUUUUUCUCAAUGAAAGUGUAAUUCAAUGUUUAUAGCUGGCCAAUUAUUUGUGAAGCAUGAUGCAAAUGGAAACAAGGAUCCACUUGAUUUUUGCCCUCAUU